AGGGGUAUAGCCAAGUGGUAAGGCAGCGGGUUUUGAUCCCGCCAUUCCCUGGUUCGAACCCGGGUACCCCUGCCA
rnacentral:tRNA from 1 species